GCAGACGACCUUUUUGGGUUUAUUCAGUUAGAAAAUGUGUUUCUAGAGGACACUUUGUAUUCCCGGUGAGCAAGCAUGGGAACUCUCCCAAAUAUCGAUGUAUUAGGGCUCACAAGAAAACCCACUGGAACUAAAGGAAAUGCUCUGGUCACUUCUAGUAGUGACAGCCCAGUGAAAGCUGUUAUAUCAAAAUGUUUUCUUCCUCAGAUCUUUUAUAAGCUUUGUUUGAACGAACGCGGCUCUUGAAGCCACCUUCUCUUUGCAUGUAUCAGCUGAGUCUGUCCUCUUGUUGCUGUGGGUAGUAAUUGCUCUAGUUACUGUUCACAAAGGAUCAUCAUUUUGAAGGACAGUCCUGUUUGCUGGUGACAGUGAGUGGUGGGGAGCCACUUACUUGGUUUCCCACAAGUGACGAGUGCAUCCUAAGGAAAGUAGCCCAAACUGGAACCUGUUGUGUCUUUGAAAUGCGAUCACCCCCUUGAACUGUAGCUGAAUGUCCCAUAAAGGUUACAGAUCUCCCAUCUGCCUCCGUUUAGGAUUUAUCUUGGCUGAAAAAACAGACGACAGGAUAAUCGCCCUGGCUGAGAUGCCAGACUCCCACAUCAGCCUGCUGCUUUGCUCUGACUUGCCUCGCUCACCGCCGAGCUCAACUGACCCAAAGCCGCCUUUGCGCUAUAUCUAGCCCAGAUAGGUGGCCGGCUGUCAUCACCCGUGGGUGCAGUCACACCCUUGCCCCUCAUGUGAAUGAGCUGUAUCUUAAAGCAGAAGUGAAAACUGCUAUGGGAGUUAAGGGUGUGGUUGUGGUGUUUUGUUUAUUUAAAAAACAAAACAAAACAAAAAAGCUUUUUCCCCCCUACAAGUUGGGAAUCACAGAUCCAGAGAAAAUGUCAUCUCCGUUACGUGCCCCUCUGAGCACAGUCAGCUGGGUAACUGGGGAAAGAAAACCCAGAUACAGAUGAAGCUGAGAAAACAAUGAGUAAAUGCUGCCAGGGAAAGGUUGUUCUGGUUUUAAGAGUAUAGCCAGGGUUAAGAGCUCAGCUGUCCCGGCUGUGGAUAAACAGAAGCUGGCCGUGCUGUUCUCUGAUGCUGUUUUCACAUUAAUAUCUAGCUAUUAGCACUUCCUGGAUGUGAUCACAUUCUUUGAAGCCGUUCUCCUUUUCCAGCAAGUUCAGAAGAUAAUUUUAGCUCUGGUUAGUGCUAUAAUUAAAUAACUGAGUCUCGAGCUGAAGCAGCAGAUGCCACCUUUGCCAAUCUUUUUCCACUGCUUAUCUUGGGACACCACUCCCAAGGACAUGCAUGCUUGUGAGGGCACCACGGAGUUGUCCCUGCUGAGCAUCUCCUGGUGUCCAGCCUUGGUGCCUAGGGACAUGACAUGGCCUGUGUGAGUCACACUUUUAGCUGUGCUAAACGGUUCUCCAGGGGAGAUGGGGUGUUAGAAGUAGGAUUAGGGUGGUUGGGCACUGGAACAGGCUCCCCAGGGCAGGGUCAUGGCACUGAGCCUGAUGGACUUCAAGAAGUGUUUGGACAACGCUCUGAGACAUAGGCUCUGAUUUUUCGGUGGUGCUGUGUGGAGCCAGGGGUUGGACUCCAUGAUCCUUGAGGGUCCCCUUCCAGCUUGGGAUAUUCUGUGAUCCCAUGAUUCUAAGAAGAUGCAGUUUACGUCAGCAUCCAUGGCUUGUCUUCUGGGCCACCUUGAUGUUCCUACUGAGAAAGCAUAAAUCGAACUAAUUCAACAAGCCUAUUCUCAGCCAGGGCAGCCUGUGAGGAAUUUCCCUUUUUGUGGGACCAACAGGAGAGAAGAAUCAGUGGUGGAUAGUGCAAGCGAGUACAUCACCAACACGCAGGCAGACGCUGCUCUCCACCUGGGGAGAUGCUCCGGGAUCAGGAUGCUCUGCUUCGGGAGCGCUCCGGUAUCACCCAGGCUCUGGGUUACAUCGUGGGCAUGAGCUGAAGUAAAUGCAGCAGCCACGGCGUCCCCAGCAGCCGAGCCUUUAUGGAGAGGGGAGUGGAGGAGCAGGGAACAUUGUUUUGACGUUUUAAUGGAGUGAGGAUGAAAUGUUUGGUUUAUGACAGGGAGGGUGGUGGUGAUUUCAGGCACUGCUGUUGCUGCUCUUGCAAGCUGUUUGGAAGAAAGCCUUAGCACAGACCUCCACAUAGUGCUGAAGGAAAAAAAACAACUUCCUAAGCCAAUAUUUUAGGGGAGAAGAGGCCAUCUAAUGAGGGUAAUGGGGAAACCCACUGCUUGGUGCUAUGCUGGCUUUGAGCGACAAGUUUCUCUCUGGAUUUUAGAGGAACAGUUUAAAUGUGCCAUGUUUUUUAGCACGACAAGAUGCACUGCAGAUAUGUCACAUCCAUUUCAUUCCCCACAGCUGUUUACAAAAGAAAAAUAAAUAAAUAAACCCCCUGAGACUGGAGCAGCUGCAGUCACUCAGCUGUCAAUAUGGGACAAGCCUCUUUCUGCUCUGCUUUUAUUUCCACUUCACUCUGUUCUUCUGCACAUAUUUGGCUCUUCUGUGCAUUUUCAGAUUGAGUUGUUUUUUUUUUUUGCCCAACUGCCUUUGAUCUAUACAGAAAGUCUCACUCAGAUCCCAUUUGAAUUCAUUAAUACAUUGAGUAGGUAUUUUAAUUCUAUGUUUACUGACUUGUUUCCCUUUGUAAUGUUAUCUAACUGACAAGUUCUCCGUACUCUGCCUUAUGUUUAGUUUUUUUUUCAAGUCUAAAAUGUUUCCUCUUUCCUGAAAAGCUAUGAUAGUUUUCAGAGAAGUUAUAAAGGUGUUUUCAUUUCCACAGAAGAGAAACUGACUUACUCUCAGCUUUGAUUACUAACAAAUCAAUACUGAAGCACGUAAUUCUUUUUACACCAUGAACAAAGUGCAUUUUAUACCAUCAUCUGUAGCCUGAAUUGUAGUUUAGAAGCCUGCUUAGGCACUAAAAGCAACAUUUUGUUUGCAACUUCCAUGCCAGUGAAGUCACAGCAUUAAAGGAAUUUCCUGGACUGGAGUUUUUCCCACAUAUUCAGCUGUUUUGCAAAGACCUGCUGUAUUUUCCCCAACAACUGUGAAUUUAGCACAAUGUACAGAACUCUAGCAAGAACCCCGGUUGCCUAAACGUCCUAAACACAGGGCCAAAAGGAUGAGGAGUGGACACGUUUUGUGAUGACCAAGCACAAAUGUUUCAGUGGAGAAAAUGCCCUACGUUUGGUCAGACCAUUUAUCUCGAGUUGCUGGGAUAGUGCUGUCUUUGGAAAGGGUAUAGGUGUUAGCAAAUCGCCAAACUGUGAACCACAGACUGUCAGAAGCAUUGGACCUGCCUUUUUUUUUUUUUUUUUUUUUUUCUCUAAGUUCCUGUUGUCAAGUGUGGUGCAGUGGGGUUGAGAAAGGAAUGUAUUUUGGAUGACCAGGAUGAUGAAUGUAUGAUGCUUCAUGUUUAUUUGUAAUGUCCUUUUUAUACUUAGAAAUUGCUCACAUAUGUAUCUGUAUGUAAAUAAAUGUUUAAUCCUUUCCA